GAGAGGAGCUUGCUCUUCUUGGAUGAGUUGCGAACGGGUGAGUAACGCGUAGGUAACCUGCCUUGUAGCGGGGGAUAACUAUUGGAAACGAUAGCUAAUACCGCAUAACAAUGGAUGACACAUGUCAUUUAUUUGAAAGGGGCAAUUGCUCCACUACAAGAUGGACCUGCGUUGUAUUAGCUAGUAGGUGAGGUAACGGCUCACCUAGGCGACGAUACAUAGCCGACCUGAGAGGGUGAUCGGCCACACUGGGACUGAGACACGGCCCAGACUCCUACGGGAGGCAGCAGUAGGGAAUCUUCGGCAAUGGGGGCAACCCUGACCGAGCAACGCCGCGUGAGUGAAGAAGGUUUUCGGAUCGUAAAGCUCUGUUGUAAGUCAAGAACGAGUGUGAGAGUGGAAAGUUCACACUGUGACGGUAGCUUACCAGAAAGGGACGGCUAACUACGUGCCAGCAGCCGCGGUAAUACGUAGGUCCCGAGCGUUGUCCGGAUUUAUUGGGCGUAAAGCGAGCGCAGGCGGUUUGAUAAGUCUGAAGUUAAAGGCUGUGGCUCAACCAUAGUUCGCUUUGGAAACUGUCAAACUUGAGUGCAGAAGGGGAGAGUGGAAUUCCAUGUGUAGCGGUGAAAUGCGUAGAUAUAUGGAGGAACACCGGUGGCGAAAGCGGCUCUCUGGUCUGUAACUGACGCUGAGGCUCGAAAGCGUGGGGAGCGAACAGGAUUAGAUACCCUGGUAGUCCACGCCGUAAACGAUGAGUGCUAGGUGUUGGAUCCUUUCCGGGAUUCAGUGCCGCAGCUAACGCAUUAAGCACUCCGCCUGGGGAGUACGACCGCAAGGUUGAAACUCAAAGGAAUUGACGGGGGCCCGCACAAGCGGUGGAGCAUGUGGUUUAAUUCGAAGCAACGCGAAGAACCUUACCAGGUCUUGACAUCCCGAUGCUAUUUCUAGAGAUAGAAAGUUACUUCGGUACAUCGGUGACAGGUGGUGCAUGGUUGUCGUCAGCUCGUGUCGUGAGAUGUUGGGUUAAGUCCCGCAACGAGCGCAACCCCUAUUGUUAGUUGCCAUCAUUCAGUUGGGCACUCUAGCGAGACUGCCGGUAAUAAACCGGAGGAAGGUGGGGAUGACGUCAAAUCAUCAUGCCCCUUAUGACCUGGGCUACACACGUGCUACAAUGGUUGGUACAACGAGUUGCGAGUCGGUGACGGCAAGCUAAUCUCUUAAAGCCAAUCUCAGUUCGGAUUGUAGGCUGCAACUCGCCUACAUGAAGUCGGAAUCGCUAGUAAUCGCGGAUCAGCACGCCGCGGUGAAUACGUUCCCGGGCCUUGUACACACCGCCCGUCACACCACGAGAGUUUGUAACACCCGAAGUCGGUGAGGUAACCUUUGGAGCCAGC
rnacentral:rRNA from 1 species